UCCAGGCCCUACGGGAGGCAGCAGUGGGGAAUUUUCCGCAAUGGGCGAAAGCCUGACGGAGCAACGCCGCGUGAGGGAUGAAGGCCUCUGGGCUGUAAACCUCUUUUAUCAAGGAAGAAGAUCUGACGGUACUUGAUGAAUAAGCCACGGCUAAUUCCGUGCCAGCAGCCGCGGUAAUACGGGAGUGGCAAGCGUUAUCCGGAAUUAUUGGGCGUAAAGCGUCCGCAGGCGGCCCUUCAAGUCUGCUGUUAAAAAGUGGAGCUUAACUCCAUCAUGGCAGUGGAAACUGUUGGGCUUGAGUGUGGUAGGGGCAGAGGGAAUUCCCGGUGUAGCGGUGAAAUGCGUAGAUAUCGGGAAGAACACCAGUGGCGAAGGCGCUCUGCUGGGCCAUCACUGACGCUCAUGGACGAAAGCCAGGGGAGCGAAAGGGAUUAGAUACCCCUGUAGUCCUGGCCGUAAACGAUGAACACUAGGUGUCGGGGGAAUCGACCCCCUCGGUGUCGUAGCCAACGCGUUAAGUGUUCCGCCUGGGGAGUACGCACGCAAGUGUGAAACUCAAAGGAAUUGACGGGGGCCCGCACAAGCGGUGGAGUAUGUGGUUUAAUUCGAUGCAACGCGAAGAACCUUACCAGGGUUUGACAUCCUGCGAAUCUCCUGGAAACGGGAGAGUGCCUUCGGGAACGCAGUGACAGGUGGUGCAUGGCUGUCGUCAGCUCGUGUCGUGAGAUGUUGGGUUAAGUCCCGCAACGAGCGCAACCCACGUCUUUAGUUGCCAGCAUUCAGUUGGGCACUCUAGAGAGACCGCCGGUGAUAAACCGGAGGAAGGUGUGGAUGACGUCAAGUCAUCAUGCCCCUUACAUCCUGGGCUACACACGUACUACAAUGCUACGGACAAAGGGCAGCAAACUCGCGAGAGCUAGCAAAUCCCAUAAACCGUGGCUCAGUUCAGAUCGUAGGCUGCAACUCGCCUACGUGAAGGAGGAAUCGCUAGUAAUCGCAGGUCAGCAUACUGCGGUGAAUACGUUCCCGGGCCUUGCACACACCGCCCGU
rnacentral:rRNA from 1 species